CCUACGGGAGGCUGCAGUGGGGAAUAUUGGACAAUGGGGGCAACCCUGAUCCAGCCAUGCCGCGUGUGUGAAGAAGGCCCUCGGGUUGUAAAGCACUUUCAGUGAGGAAGAACGCCUGGUGGUUAAUACCCAUCAGGAAAGACAUCACUCACAGAAGAAGCACCGGCUAACUCCGUGCCAGCAGCCGCGGUAAUACGGAGGGUGCGAGCGUUAAUCGGAAUUACUGGGCGUAAAGCGCGCGUAGGUGGCUUGAUAAGCCGGUUGUGAAAGCCCCGGGCUCAACCUGGGAACGGCAUCCGGAACUGGCAAGCUAGAGUGCAGGAGAGGAAGGUAGAAUUCCUGGUGUAGCGGUGAAAUGCGUAGAGAUCGGGAGGAAUACCAGUGGCGAAGGCGGCCUUCUGGACUGACACUGACACUGAGGUGCGAAAGCGUGGGUAGCAAACAGGAUUAGAUACCCGUGUAGUC
rnacentral:rRNA from 1 species